GACGAACGCUGGCGGCGUGCUUAACACAUGCAAGUCACGGGGGCCCGCAAGGGCAACCGGCGAACGGGUGAGUAACACGUGAGUAAUCUGCCCCUGGCUUUGGGAUAGCCACCGGAAACGGUGAUUAAUACCGGAUACGACAACUUCUCGCAUGGGAUGGUUGUGGAAAGUUUUUCGGCCAGGGAUGUGCUCGCGGCCUAUCAGCUUGAUGGUGAGGUAAUGGCUCACCAUGGCUUCGACGGGUAGCCGGCCUGAGAGGGUGACCGGUCACACUGGGACUGAGACACGGCCCAGACUCCUACGGGAGGCAGCAGUGGGGAAUAUUGGACAAUGGGCGGAAGCCUGAUCCAGCAACGCCGCGUGAGGGAUGACGGCCUUCGGGUUGUAAACCUCUUUCGCCUGUGACGAAGCGCAAGUGACGGUAACAGGUAAAGAAGCACCGGCCAACUACGUGCCAGCCGCCGCCGUAAUAC
rnacentral:rRNA from 1 species